rnacentral:rRNA from 1 species
AACGAACGCUGGCGGCAUGCCUAACACAUGCAAGUCGAACGAGACCUUCGGGUCUAGUGGCGCACGGGUGCGUAACGCGUGGGAACCUGCCCUUAGGUUCGGAACAACUCCCCGAAAGGGGUGCUAAUACCGGAUAAUGUCUUCGGACCAAAGAUUUAUCGCCUUUGGAUGGGCCCGCGUUGGAUUAGCUAGUUGGUAGGGUAAAAGCCUACCAAGGCGACGAUCCAUAGCUGGUCUGAGAGGAUGAUCAGCUACACUGGGACUGAGACACGGCCCAGACUCCUACGGGAGGCAGCAGUGGGGAAUAUUGGACAAUGGGCGAAAGCCUGAUCCAGCAAUGCCGCGUGAGUGAUGAAGGCCUUAGGGUUGUAAAGCUCUUUUACCCGGGAUGAUAAUGACAGUACCGGGAGAAUAAGCUCCGGCUAACUCCGUG